rnacentral:rRNA from 1 species
AUGCAAGUCGAGGGGCAGCGCGGGGCGGCAACGGUCCUGGCGGCGACCGGCGGAAGGGUGCGUAACGCGUGAGCGACAUGCCCGUUGCCCGGGGACAACCGGUGGAAACGCCGACUAAUCCACGAUGGGACGAGUUGCUGCAUGGCAGCUCGUUGAAAGUUACGGCGGCGACGGAUUGGCUCGCGUCCGAUUAGCUGGUUGGCGGGGUAACGGCCCACCAAGGCUACGAUCGGUAGGGGUUCUGAGAGGAAGGUCCCCACAAUGGUACUGAGACACGGACCAAACUCC